rnacentral:rRNA from 1 species
UAAUGCGUGACCAACCUGCCCCAUGCUCCAGAAUAGCUCUUGGAAACGGGUGGUAAUGCUGGAUGCUCCAACUUGACGCAUGUCUUGUUGGGAAAGUGUUUAGUGGCAUGGGAUGGGGUCGCGUCCUAUCAGCUUGUAGGCGGGGUAAUGGCCCACCUAGGCUUCGACGGGUAGCCGGCCUGAGAGGGCGGACGGCCACAUUGGGACUGAGAUACGGCCCAGACUCCUACAGGAGGCAGCAGCA